CAGAGCAAGCCAGAGGCAGCGAAAGAGCAGCUCUCUCCCACUUCUCCAUCCCAAAGAUGACGGAGGGGAAGAAGACGGGGCGACAUCUCCUGCACGCUGAAGUGAAAAGACGUCUGCUGUGAGGUCAAGAGGACAUGAUGUGCCAUGAAGACUGAACCUGCAAACUUUUCAGAAGACUGAUCCCAGAGGAUCCUCGCAGGAUCCUCGCAGGACUUGAUGUGACGCAGGGAGGCCUGAUCUGACAUUUGGAUUCAAAGUGCAGACAAAAAUCCAGAGGAUCACAUUCGAGCCCACGCACAUACACACACGCUCGCUCAUCAUACUUUCUUCAGUAAGAAAUCUCCUCCAUCACUUUUGUCCCUCUGUUACAUGUUCUGUCACUGAACCACCAGGUAGACUAAGGAACAUCAACUACUCAUUUUCAUCAUUUUGCAGGUGAGGUGAAUUAAUAAAUCUGUGAUAUGUGAAGAAAAAAGUAGAAGAAAUCCAUCCUAUUCCUCCAUAAAAGUACAAAAGCAUCUAAAGGCUUGCUCCAACAGUAUUUUGUUGUGCAUUUCCUCUACAGUAACAAUAAAGAUCAUUUAUCAAAUUAUCAAAUAGAUGUAGGCUCAUGUAGUUGUGUUAUCAUAUAUUAUAUCAUGGUCUUCACCCCUAAAAUCUUAAUUUGCAUCCUUAUAUAAACUGGAUAUUUCAGUGUCUCAUAAUCACAGCUUUUAGUAUGACAUGUGGAGGAAGUUCUUUGGUCUACUUAAGAAAAAAAGGAUCUUAUCACAGUCUAAAAAAUAUUGUUUUACGUCCUUAAUUGGAAAUAUUCCACCGUUAAAAAGUGUAUAUAAUGAAAAGUGAUUUUAAAGCCUGAAAAGUAAAAGUAUUUUUGCUUAAAAAAAGUAAUUAAUCUCUCCUAUUUUCAAUUUGAAAUGUAAAACCUGCUGUCAUUAACAAGUCUAUAAAUAAGGGAUUGAUGAUAUUCCAUAUCUCUCAGUUUGGCAUCUUGAGAUAGUGGAUUUGAGUUUCUUGUGUGACCUGCGAGCUCCUCCCUGAGGGUGGAGGGGGUCGAGCAGGGUAGUCGGUCACUGAAGUUGGACUUCAGAACAGACAGACACAGCUGAGUGCUUCUCUCUGCUUAAAUACACAAUCUUUUUUACUACUUUAUUGGAACAUAUUGUUUUUAUGAUGAUUACGUUCUUUUUAAAGUAAAAUCUUCAUCUGAAAUCACAAUCUGCUUCUUCACAUAACUAUUAGUUUCAUAUUUCUUUUAUAAUCUUGCAUAACCUACACAAAUAGAAAACCUUUCUCUGGCUUUAAAUGGUUUUUUUUUCAGGUUUAUAUUUUAACUACACCGUUACAGCCAAUAAAUGUUGCUUUCUGUGCCGAUUUCUAACAUCAUUCUUAACACAAAAAUCCUGUUUUAUUCCAAGUAUCUGCAACCUGAGCGUGGCACUGCGACCUUUUUCAGUUCUAAUUAGUGAGAUUAAAUGUAAUCUGUUACCUCACUGUUCUCCUCUCAUAAGGCCUAAGAUCUGUGUCAGCCCACCACCUUCCUCCUCCACCUUACCACCCUCAGUGCACCAUAGUUGCGUUAUUAAACUUGCAUAAGAUCAUUAGCAUACAAAGCAGGAAACCUACCAUGGCGCAUUCAUACAUAUUUAUCUGCCUGACUUGUGCAUGCGUAAACCGGCGCUGUAACCCCGACUACACACAGUCAUGACUGCUUCUCAAUUGCAGGAAAACACGAUUUUUUACUAGAAGUUAAUUUAGACUUAAAGGGUAGAUAUUUAUUGGUGCAACAUCUUAAGAAGGAGCAGCUUGUAUUUGCCCCAAACUACACAUUAAAAAACAUGUGCCACUGCAUGUAAGACACAAAUGUGUGUGUGUG